rnacentral:rRNA from 1 species
CCUACGGGUGGCUGCAGUAGGGAAUAUUGGGCAAUGGGCGCAAGCCUGACCCAGCCAUGCCGCGUGCCGGAAGAAGGCCCUCUGGGUUGUAAACGGCUUUUGACGGGGAAGAAACGACCUAUGCGUAGGGCAUUGACGGUACCCGCAGAAUAAGCACCGGCUAACUCCGUGCCAGCAGCCGCGGUAAUACGGAGGGUGCAAGCGUUGUCCGGAUUUAUUGGGUUUAAAGGGUGCGUAGGCGGUCUGGUAAGUCGGCGGUGAAAGCCCGGGGCUCA